GACGAACGCUGGCGGCGUGCUUAACACAUGCAAGUCGAACGAGAGCGUAGAGAAAGCUUGCUUUUUCUACAAUCUAGUGGCAAACGGGUGAGUAACGCGUAAACAACCUGCCCUACGGAUGGGGACAACAGCUGGAAACGGCUGCUAAUACCGAAUACGUUCCGAAAGUCGCAUGACUAUCGGAAGAAAGGAUGGCCUCUAUUUAUAAGCUAUCGCCGGAGGAGGGGUUUGCGUCUGAUUAGCUAGUUGGAGGGGUAACGGCCCACCAAGGCGAGGAUCAGUAGACGGUCUGAGAGGAUGAACGGCCACAGUGGAACUGAGACACGGUCCAGACUCCUACGGGAGGCAGCAGUGGGGAAUCUUCCGCAAUGGGCGAAAGCCUGACGGAGCAACGCCGCGUGAGUGAAGACGGCCUUCGGGUUGUAAAGCUCUGUUAUACGGGACGAAUAAUCUUGUGGUUAAUACCCAUGAGAAGUGACGGUACCGUAAGAGAAAGCCACGGCUAACUACGUG
rnacentral:rRNA from 1 species